rnacentral:lncRNA from 1 species
ACCAGUUUGGAUCCCGGGUGCGGACCUAUGCACUGCUUGCCAAGCCAUGCUAUGAAUUCAGCUCUUUGCAGUUGCAGGACUAAGAUAUCCAUCUCAUGGCUGGUUGUCAGCUGGGACGUGUUCUCGGCAACCAGAUCCUACUCGCAUUCCUUGCCAUGUGGUCCCCUCCAUCCUCAGGCCAGCAAUGAUGCCUUCUCAGCCCUCCUCUCAUUUGAUUCUCCCAGUCCUGCGAAGGCAAGAGAAAAGGCAGAGCCACGAUCCCUCAUUACGGGCCAGGAAACCGUGACCACUUGUCACGUGUGUGCCUUGUGCAGGCCACUUCACCUCUUUCUGCCUCAGUCUCCUUCCCUGCAAAAUGAGAAUUACAACAGCACCUACCCCAUCAUGUUUUUGGAAAGAACAAAGGAGCGGACACCUCCAAAGCACACAGGACAGUGUCUGGCACACAAUAAGCCAGUCUCUGAAACUCUUAUUAUUUCCAUGUAAGACCUGUUUCAAAGGCAUUUCUCUUCGCCCGUUAAUGCUGAGCUUUAUUUUAUCUUCUACUUCUCACGUCCACUUAGGCUGCCUUCCUGCCUUCCCGGAGAUCCACAAUCACUUCUAAUUUAAUAUCCACCAUGAAUUUAAUUAAAGUUCUGUUAGUGUCUUCUUCUUCUAGACCAUUAAUGAGGCUGUUAGAUAAAAUGUAAUAAAGAUCCCUGGAGCAAGCCAGCAG